rnacentral:rRNA from 1 species
GAUGAACGCUGGCGGCGUGCCUAAUACAUGCAAGUCGAGCGAACAGACGAGGAGCUUGCUCCUCUGACGUUAGCGGCGGACGGGUGAGUAACACGUGGAUAACCUACCUAUAAGACUGGGAUAACUUCGGGAAACCGGAGCUAAUACCGGAUAAUAUAUUGAACCGCAUGGUUCAAUAGUGAAAGACGGUUUUGCUGUCACUUAUAGAUUGAUCCGCGCCGCAUUAGCUAGUUGGUAAGGUAACGGCUUACCAAGGCAACGAUGCGUAGCCGACCUGAGAGGGUGAUCGGCCACCCUGGAACUGAGACACGGUCCAGACUCCUACGGGAGGCAGCAGUAGGGAAUCUUCCGCAAUGGGCGAAAGCCUGACGGAGCAACGCCGCGUGAGUGAUGAAGGUCUUCGGCUCGUAAAACUCUGUUAUUAGGGAAGAACAAAUGUGUAAGUAACUAUGCACGUCUUGACGGUACCUAAUCAGAAAGCCACGGCUAACUACGUG